CAGUCGCCGCGGGAAUACGUAGGGUGCGAGCGUUAAUCGGAAUUACUGGGCGUAAAGCGUGCGCAGGCGGUUUUGUAAGACAGGCGUGAAAUCCCCGGGCUCAACCUGGGAAUGGCGCUUGUGACUGCAAAGCUAGAGUGCGGCAGAGGGGGAUGGAAUUCCGCGUGUAGCAGUGAAAUGCGUAGAUAUGCGGAGGAACACCGAUGGCGAAGGCAAUCCCCUGGGCCUGCACUGACGCUCAUGCACGAAAGCGUGGGGAGCAAACAGGAUUAGAUACCCCGGUAGUCCCUGUUUCUUAUAU
rnacentral:rRNA from 1 species